rnacentral:rRNA from 2 species
AGUGGCGGACGGGUGAGUAACGCGUAAGCGACCUGCCCGGAAGUGGGGGAUAACCAAUCGAAAGGUUGGCUAAUACCGCAUGAGCUCGUCGGUUCAUUCCGGCGAGGAAAGCCGCAAGGCGCUUUCGGAGGGGCUUGCGUCCGAUUAGCUUGUUGGUGGGGUAAUGGCCUACCAAGGCGACGAUCGGUAGCUGGUCUGAGAGGAUGAUCAGCCACACUGGGACUGAGACACGGCCCARACUCCUACGGGAGGCAGCAGUGGGGAAUUUUGCGCAAUGGGGGAAACCCUGACGCAGCAACGCCGCGUGAGUGAUGAAGGCUUUCGGGUCGUAAAGCUCUGUCAGAGGGGAAGAAAUGAGCCUGGCUAAUAUCCAGGUUUCUUGACGGUACCCUCAAAGGAAGCACCGGCUAACUCCGUGCCAGCAGCCGCGGUAAUAC